AGCAGCCGCGGUAAUUCCAGCUUCAAUAGCGUAUAUUAAAGUUGUUGCAGUUAAAAAGCUCGUAGUUGAAUUUCGGGAUCAGUACGCUGGUCGUGCCUCCGGUAUGUACUGGUGUCACUGGUUCCUCCCUUCUGAAGAACCAUCAUGCUAUUAAUUUAGUGUGGUGGGAAAUCAGGACUGUUACUUUGAAAAAAUUAGAGUGUUUAAAGCAGGCUCACGCUUGAAUACAUUAGCAUGGAAUAAUGAAAUAGGACGUUGAUCCUAUUUUGUUGGUUUCUAGGAUUGACGUAAUGAUUAAUAGGGAUAGUUGGGGGCAUUAGUAUUCAAUUGUCAGAGGUGAAAUUCUUGGAUUUAUUGAAGACUAACUACUGCGAAAGCAUUUGCCAAGGAUGUUUUCAUUAAUCAAGAACGAAAGUUAGGGGAUCGAAGACGAUCAGAUACCGUCGUAGU
rnacentral:rRNA from 1 species